GGAGAAGAUGACAUCACCAGUGACAUCACAUACAGUGUUGUGAAAUCAUCAAAUCAUCAACAACCAGUCAAACAAAUCAGAGUAGGAGAGACUGAUUCAGCUGUGGUCUACUCAGCAGUGAGAAGUGAAGACGUCCGUUAUGGACAAACAACCAUCAGAACAAGGAGGCCCAGUUUCCCUGGACCUUUGUAAUCUGCCGUUUGGGACGUGACUGAGUUGGUGUGUGGAACCGUGAGGUGGAGCACGAGUGUGAGAGAACCAUUCCCUUUCUCCGACCUCCCUUUUGGACCCUUGGAACCCCGGAUUUCCCCCACAUGUAUAUAUAUCACACCUGGUGUUUGUACAAAUAAAAACCUGCAUUGAACUGUGAAUUUUAGUCUGCACCUGAGUCCACUCCGUUGCAUGUGACAAUAUUUGCAUUUCAAGUUAUGAAAACGAUUUGUUAAACAUGUUUGUGGUUGUUACUGUAAAAAAUAUAACUUUUUUCUAGACAGAUUUUAUGUUUUUUGUCUGAUUUUAGAUCACUAUGUCAAAAUCAAAAAAAUCACUGUAAAUUCAGACAUGUGAGGUUGUGCUGCAAACAAUGAUACCAAACAGGCAAUGUAAAAAGCCUCAGGUCGGGGCUCGCAGCAGCAGCACCGCCAAGCCCUGCAGAGCCCGGGGCGGCCCACCCAACUACACCACAAAGGAAGCUACACCCACCCCAUCAUCCAAUCAUCUACCAGACUACAAUAGAGACCCAGGUUGAGUUCAUUCUCCAACUCUCCUCUACCUCUUCCUCACCUGCAGGGUGGAUUCCUGGAGAGCAGGAACUGUUUUUUAAAGUAAAACAAUAG